rnacentral:rRNA from 1 species
UACGUAGGGGGCAAGCGUUGUCCGGAAUUAUUGGGCGUAAAGCGCGCGCAGGCGGCUUUGUAAGUUUGGUGUUUAAUCUCAGAGCUCAACUCUGAUUCGCAUCGAAAACUGCAAGGCUUGAGUACAGAAGAGGAAAGUGGAAUUCCACGUGUAGCGGUGAAAUGCGUAGAGAUGUGGAGGAACACCAGUGGCGAAGGCGACUUUCGUGGGCUGUAACUGACGCUGAGGCGCGAAAGCGUGGGGAGCAAACAGG